UUUUUUUUUCUAUUUGAUGAGCAUGUGUGUGUGUUGUUUUUUUUUGUUUUCUAGCAAUUAUGGUAGCAUUUCUUUUCAAGAGGCUUUGGAGAUAGAGAGAUGAAGUUCUUUAUGAAUGUGCAAUUUUUUAGAGUUCAUGGAAUUUGAUGUGAGCAUAUGCAUUUUUUUGUAAUGACUGGUUAGUUCUUUUUUGUUUUUGUUAUGAAUGCUAGUGAUCUUGAUGAUAACUGAUUUUGUUGGUUUGGGGUUGGCCUAGACUGCUGCACAUUUUGUUUUGCAUUUGUACAAGUAGGGAAUCCGAUAGAAAGCAUAGGGUAUAUGAUUAAAGUGGAUUUUUUGAUCUCCUCCCAAUCAUGGGUGGCUUUGGUUUACUUGAUCUCGUCAUGGAUUGUUCUCAUUUUUGGUGAUACCUCCCCUCUCUCUCUCUAGCAUUUUUGUAAGCUUUACUCUUCAUGUGUUCUAGCAUUAAUUCAAACAUCAUACAUAGAUUAGUAAUUUGGAUGAAUGUUGAUCUUAUGUAGCUGAUAUUGCCAUUCAAUAUUAAAAAAUCUAGACUUCUAUUGAUGUUCUUAUUUUGUCUUUUAUAGAUUUUGAAUAUAGAAGGGAAAAAAUAAGAAAGGUAAAGAUGAAGAUAGGAAAGAUAAAGAAAAAGCCAAAGAUUUUGACAAAGAUAAAGGAAAACACAAGGAUGAGGAAACACGAAAGUGAGAAUUAAAUUGAAGGAACAAAUUUGGUUGGAAACCAACUAAGACAAUAUUCUUUUCGUUGGCCUUAAGUGCUAUAAAGUGAUGUCCUUGCCAUCAUGCAUAUUGAUUUCAAGAAAGUGAAGAAAUUCAGUCUUGACGGAACAGAGCCAAGGGAAAGUUGAGUCAAUGAGCAAGAAGGAUGGUUUAUGAUGAGAAACUCGGUUCCUUAAUUUCUUUUAAUUUGGAUAGGCUGACUUUUCUUGAGAUUAUACUUUUCAAAUUGUUUAUGUUGUAACCCAACUUAAAGAUCCAUAAAUAAAAUAGAGAAUCAGAUUUGAUA